UACGUAGGUCCCGAGCGUUGUCCGGAUUUAUUGGGCGUAAAGCGAGCGCAGGUGGUUUAUUAAGUCUGGUGUAAAAGGCAGUGGCUCAACCAUUGUAUGCAUUGGAAACUGGUAGACUUGAGUGCAGGAGAGGAGAGUGGAAUUCCAUGUGUAGCGGUGAAAUGCGUAGAUAUAUGGAAGAACACCAGUGGCGAAAGCGGCUCUCUGGUCUGUAACUGACGCUGAGGGUCGAAAGCGUGGGUAGCAAACAGG
rnacentral:rRNA from 1 species